ensembl:snRNA U6 U6 spliceosomal RNA
GUGCUUGCUUCAGCAGCACAUAUACUAAACCUAGAAUGAUACAGGGAAGAUUAUCAUGGCCCCCGUGCAAGGAUGACAUGUAAAUUUGUAAAGUGUUCCAUAUUUUU